CCUACGGGAUGCAGCAGUGGGGAAUAUUGCACAAUGGGGGAAACCCUGAUGCAGCAACGCCGCGUGAGUGAAGAAGUAUUUCGGUAUGUAAAGCUCUAUCAGCAGGGAAGAGAAUGACGGUACCUGACUAAGAAGCCCCGGCUAACUACGUGCCAGCAGCCGCGGUAAUACGUAGGGGGCGAGCGUUAUCCGGAUUUACUGGGUGUAAAGGGAGCGUAGACGGUUCUGCAAGUCUGAAGUGAAAGCCCGGGGCUUAACCGCGGAACGGCUUUGGAAACUGUGGAACUUGAGUGCUGGAGAGGCAAGCGGAAUUCCUAGUUUAGCGGUGAAAUGCGGAGAUAUUAGGAGGAACACCAGUGGCGAAGGCGGCUUGCUUGACAGUAACUGACGUUGAGGCUCGAAAGCGUGGGGAGCAAACAGGAUUAGAUACCCGAGUAGUC
rnacentral:rRNA from 1 species